GACGAACGCUGGCGGCGUGCUUAACACAUGCAAGUCGAGCGAAGCCCUUCUCUUCGGAGAAGAUGACUUAGCGGCGAACGGGUGAGUAACACGUGGGCAACCUGCCCUUAGCUCUGGGAUAAGCGAUGGAAACGUCGUCUAAUACCGGAUACGACACGGGACGGCAUCAUCACCGUGUGGAAAGAAUUUCGGCUAAGGAUGGGCCCGCGGCCUAUCAGCUUGUUGGUGGGGUAAUGGCCUACCAAGGCUUCGACGGGUAACCGGCCUGAGAGGGCGACCGGUCACACUGGGACUGAGACACGGCCCAGACUCCUACGGGAGGCAGCAGUGGGGAAUAUUGCACAAUGGGCGAAAGCCUGAUGCAGCGACGCCGCGUGAGGGAUGACGGCCUUCGGGUUGUAAACCUCUUUCAGCUGGGAAGAUAAUGACGGUACCAGCAGAAGAAGCCCCGGCUAACUCCGUGCCAGCAGCCGCCGUAAA
rnacentral:rRNA from 1 species